rnacentral:lncRNA from 1 species
AUCAAAUUUAUAUAUAUUUAUACAUGAACAGCGCUAGGAAAUUUUGAAGAAAUAUGUACUGGAGUUCUAUUCAUUUAGAAAUGCAGAAAGGUAAAUUGGCUGGAGGUAAGCACAAAAGAAAAGAACCCAGGGCUUUUCGAGAACAUGUUUAUAAACGGUGGAAAGGCUUUGAUGAAGACGUUAUUCUCGGCAAAUAAUACAAAUUCAAAAGGGAAACAUUAAAUAUUUUUACUUGGUGUUUUCUUUGAAGAAGCAAAAACUUUAAUUUGAUCCAGAUUUGAUGAAUAUUUCUCUUCUUAUCAGUAAAAAAAGAGAAGACAAUCUGAGUUGCUCUUUAGGUAGCUUCCACUUUCGGAAGCUCCGGCCGCAGAGCCUCUGAGGGGAGCGUCCUCUUCCGCACUGUACAUUCAUCACUGUCACGUCGCACGGUCCUCCCUUACGGUUUCAGAAAACUUCCAGAAAUAUCCCCUUUUUUUCUACCUAAGCAAUAUAAAUAACACUGAUAGUAUUUUCCAUUGUGAAAAAGGCAUUAUGGCAAUGAUCAUAAUUUGUCCCUACCAGACGUCUGAGUGACUCUCUGGAGAUGGCACCCAAGGGCAGUCAUGUUCACCUCCGCAUCCAGAAUGGAGCAGGCGAGGCUGUUUCCAGGAACUCUCGGCGGCCUGCUUGCCAGCUGAACCCAUCAGAAUUAUGCUUUCAUAGCUUCAUCUUACUGAAUUCUGGGAGACAUUGUCUUGCUAAGUGGAUCAAUUGGUGGAAAGAGGAUAAACUUCUUCCUGCUUUAUUAAAGUAUCCAGGUACUGUUGGUUUUAUAGCACCCCCCAUCUGUAGGUCUGUGUAUAAAAGUUUUCCAGAGGUGAAAAUUAGUUUCAAAGCAUCCAAAAUUUCAGGAAGUUCAGAUUAUCAGCUACAAAUUAGUAUUUUGAUAUGAGUAUAGUUUGUUUCUUUUAGCAGACUGUUUUUGAGCUUGCUGGUGACUGGAUAUAUCCUGUAUGGUACUAGAUUCAGAGUUACUGCCAAUAGGCACC